rnacentral:rRNA from 1 species
AUUGAACGCUGGCGGCAUGCUUUACACAUGCAAGUCGAACGGUAACAGGCCGCAAGGUGCUGACGAGUGGCGAACGGGUGAGUAAUGCAUCGGAACGUGCCCAGUCGUGGGGGAUAACUACUCGAAAGAGUAGCUAAUACCGCAUACGAUCUAUGGAUGAAAGCGGGGGACCGUAAGGCCUCGCGCGAGUGGAGCCGCCGAUGUCAGAUGAGGUAGUUGGUGGGGUAAAGGCUCACCAAGCCAACGAUCUGUAGCUGGUCUGAGAGGACGACCAGCCACACUGGGACUGAGACACGGCCCAGACUCCUACGGGAGGCAGCAGUGGGGAAUUUUGGACAAUGGGCGCAAGCCUGAUCCAGCAAUGCCGCGUGCAGGAAGAAGGCCUUCGGGUUGUAAACUGCUUUUGUACGGAACGAAACGGCUCUGGUUAAUACCCGGGGCUAAUGACGGUACCGGAAGAAUAAGCACCGGCUAACUACGUG